rnacentral:rRNA from 1 species
AUUGAACGCUGGCGGCAGGCCUAACACAUGCAAGUCGAGCGGAUGAAGGGAGCUUGCUCCUGGAUUCAGCGGCGGACGGGUGAGUAAUGCCUAGGAAUCUGCCUGGUAGUGGGGGAUAACGUCCGGAAACGGGCGCUAAUACCGCAUACGUCCUGAGGGAGAAAGUGGGGGAUCUUCGGACCUCACGCUAUCAGAUGAGCCUAGGUCGGAUUAGCUAGUUGGUGGGGUAAAGGCCUACCAAGGAGACGAUCCGUAACUGGUCUGAGAGGAUGGUCAGUCACACUGGAACUUGGACACGGUCCAGACGCCUACGGGAGGGAGCAGUGGGGAAUAUUGGACAACGGGGGGAAGCCUGAUCCAGCCAGGCGGCGUGUGUGAAGAAGGUCUUCGGAUUGUAAAGCACUCUAAGUUGGGAGGAAGGGCAGUAAGCUAAGACCUUGCUGUUUUGACGGUACCAACAGAAUAAGCACCGGCUAACUUCGUG